GGUUUGUAAUUCAGUGGUAGAGUGCUUGCCUCGCAUGUGUGAGGCACUGGGUUCAAUUCUCAGCACCA
rnacentral:tRNA from 1 species